AUUUAACAGUUAAAAAGAUAUAGCAUAUGAAGGUAAAAUCAUGCAAGUUUACAAUGGACUCUGUAUUCUUGGUGAUUAUUUUCGUAAAUGUAAGUGAUGUAAUUAGUUAUGCGUCAAGUUGCUUAUGGCUGUCUUUUGUGAACAAGUGAGAUGUGUUGCCUUUUACCACAGAUAUUCGUAACAUUAUUAUUACGAACCAGUACUGCAUCAAGUAAAUAGGUUUUAUCCACCUCUGAUAAUGAAUUGGACGUGCACCUCCAUACGCUAUCUGUUGAUACGAUAUCUAGUAAACAUCCCCACUGUGAUAUUUUUGAUAUUAGGAAACUUUCCACUUAACACAUGAAAAAAGUAAAAAGCCAUGUCAAUCUCAUAUA